GUCAAGUCAGCAUGGCCUUUAUAUCCUGGGCUACACACACGCUACAAUGGGAAGGGACAAUAGGUUGCGAAACCGCGAGGUGGAGCCAAUCCAGCAAAACUUCCCUCAGUUCAGAUUGCAGGCUGCAACUCGCCUGCAUGAAGUUGGAGUUGCUAGUAAACGCAGGUCAGCCAUACUGCGUUGAAUACGUUCCCGGGGCUU
rnacentral:rRNA from 1 species